rnacentral:rRNA from 1 species
AGCGAACGCUGGCGGCAGGCCUAACACAUGCAAGUCGAACGAACCUUUCGGGGUUAGUGGCGGACGGGUGAGUAACACGUGGGAACGUGCCUUUAGGUUCGGAAUAACUCAGGGAAACUUGUGCUAAUACCGAAUGUGCCCUUCGGGGGAAAGAUUUAUCGCCUUUAGAGCGGCCCGCGUCUGAUUAGCUAGUUGGUUGAGGUAAUGGCUCACCAAGGCGACGAUCAGUAGCUGGUCUGAGAGGAUGAUCAGCCACAUUGGGACUGAGACACGGCCCAAACUCGUACGGGAGGCAGCAGUGGGGAAUCUUGCGCAAUGAGCGAAAGCCUGACGCAGCCAUGCCGCGUGAAUGAUGAAGGUCUUAGGAUUGUAAAAUUCUUUCAACGGGGACGAUAAUGACGGUACCCGGAGAAGAAGCCCCGGCUAACUUCGUG